GCUGGUGUGGCUCAAUGGCAGAGCAGCUGAUUUGUAAUCAGCAGGUUGAUGGUUCGACUCCGUUCACCAGCUCCA
rnacentral:tRNA from 10 species